rnacentral:rRNA from 1 species
GACGAACGCUGGCGGCGUGCUUAACACAUGCAAGUCGAACGGCAAGGCCCUGAUUUCGUGGGGUGCCCGAGUGGCGAACGGGUGCGUAACACGUGUGUAACCUGCUCUACACUUUGGGAUAAGUUCAGGAAACUGGGGUUACUAUCGGAUAGGAGCCCCCCUUGCGGGGUGGGGGGUGGAUCUUUUCGGCUGUAGGGGAUGGAUGCGCGGGUUACCGGCUUGUUGGUGGGGUAGUGGAUUACCGAGGCUUUGACGGGUAGCCGGCCUGAGAGGGUGGACGGCCACAUGGGGACUGAGAGACGGCCCAGACGCCUACGGGAGGCAGCAGGGGGGAAUAUUGCACAAUGGGCGGAAGCCGGAGGCAGCGACGCUGGGUGCGGGAAGACGGCCUUCGGGGUGUAAACCGCUGUCGGCUGAGACGAAGCGGUUCUGACGGUAAUGGGAGAAGAAGCACCGGCUAACUACGUG